rnacentral:rRNA from 1 species
UACGGAGGAUCCAAGCGUUAUCCGGAAUCAUUGGGUUUAAAGGGUCCGUAGGCGGCCCAGUAAGUCAGUGGUGAAAUCUCCCCGCUCAACGGGGAAACUGCCAUUGAUACUGCUGGGCUUGAAUUAUUGGGAAGUAACUAGAAUAUGUAGUGUAGCGGUGAAAUGCUUAGAGAUUACAUGGAAUACCGAUUGCGAAGGCAGGUUACUACCAAUACAUUGACGCUGAUGGACGAAAGCGUGGGGAGCGAACAGG